UACAGAGGCCACGAGCGUUAGUCGGAAUCACUGGGCUUAAAGGGUGCGUAGGCGGGCGUGUAAGCGUCCUGUGAAAGCCCGCGGCUCAACCGCGGAACAGCAGGGCGAACUGCACGUCUUGAGGCAGGUAAGGGUCGCUGGAACUCUAGGUGGAGCGGUGAAAUGCGUAGAUAUCUAGAGGAACGCCGAUGGUGAAGACGAGCGACUGGGCCUGUCCUGACGCUGAGGCACGAAAGCGUGGGGAGCAAACAGG
rnacentral:rRNA from 1 species